rnacentral:rRNA from 1 species
UACGUAGGGUGCGAGCGUUAAUCGGAAUUACUGGGCGUAAAGCGUGCGCAGGCGGUCUGUUAAGACAGAUGUGAAAUCCCCGGGCUUAACCUGGGAACUGCAUUUGUGACUGGCAGGCUAGAGUAUGGCAGAGGGGGGUAGAAUUCCACGUGUAGCAGUGAAAUGCGUAGAUAUUGGGAGGAACACCGGUGGCGAAGGCGGCCACCUGGGCCGGAACUGACGCUGAGGCGCGAAAGCGUGGGGAGCAAACGGG